AUUGAACGCUGGCGGCAGGCCUAACACAUGCAAGUCGAACGAGUGGCGGACGGGCGAGUAAUGUCUGGGAAACUGCCUGAUGGAGGGGGAUAACUACGGGAAACGGUCGCUAAUACCGCAUACCGUCGUAUGUGCCACGAUUGGAUUAGCUAGUAGGUGGGGUAAAGGCUCACCUAGGCGACGAUCCCUAGCGGGUCUGAGAGGAUGACCAGCCACACUGGAACUGAGACACGGCCCAGACUCCUACGGGAGGCAGCAGUGGGGAAUAUUGCACAAUGGGCGCAAGCCUGAUGCAGCCAUGCCGCGUGUAUGAAGAAGGCCUUCGGGUUGUAAAGUACUGUCAGCGGGGAGGCGUUACCCGCAGAAGAAGCACCGGCUAACUCCGUGCCAGCAACCGCGGUAAUAC
rnacentral:rRNA from 1 species